GACGAACGCUGGCGGCGUGCUUAACACAUGCAAGUCGAACGGAAAGGCCCUGCUUUUGUGGGGUGCUCGAGUGGCGAACGGGUGAGUAACACGUGAGUAACCUGCCCUUGACUUUGGGAUAACUCCAGGAAACUGGGGCUAAUACCGGAUAGGAGCUCCUGCUGCAUGGUGGGGGUUGGAAAGUUUCGGCGGUUGGGGAUGGACUCGCGGCUUAUCAGCUUGUUGGUGGGGUAGUGGCUUACCAAGGCUUUGACGGGUAGCCGGCCUGAGAGGGUGACCGGCCACAUUGGGACUGAGAUACGGCCCAGACUCCUACGGGAGGCAGCAGUGGGGAAUAUUGCACAAUGGGCGGAAGCCUGAUGCAGCAACGCCGCGUGCGGGAUGACGGCCUUCGGGUUGUAAACCGCUUUCGCCUGUGACGAAGCGUGAGUGACGGUAAUGGGCAAAGAAGCACCGGCUAACUACGUG
rnacentral:rRNA from 1 species